AAAUUGAAGAGUUUGAUCAUGGCUCAGAUUGAACGCUGGCGGCAGGCCUAACACAUGCAAGUCGAACGGUAACAGGAAGCAGCUUGCUGUUUCGCUGACGAGUGGCGGACGGGUGAGUAAUGUCUGGGAAACUGCCUGAUGGAGGGGGAUAACUACUGGAAACGGUAGCUAAUACCGCAUAAUGUCGCAAGACCAAAGAGGGGGACCUUCGGGCCUCUUGUCAUCGGAUGUGCCCAGAUGGGAUUAGCUUGUUGGUGGGGUAACGGCUCACCAAGGCGACGAUCCCUAGCUGGUCUGAGAGGAUGACCAGCCACACUGGAACUGAGACACGGUCCAGACUCCUACGGGAGGCAGCAGUGGGGAAUAUUGCACAAUGGGCGCAAGCCUGAUGCAGCCAUGCCGCGUGUAUGAAGAAGGCCUUCGGGUUGUAAAGUACUUUCAGCGGGGAGGAAGGGAGUAAAGUUAAUACCUUUGCUCAUUGACGUUACCC
rnacentral:rRNA from 1 species